AUGCUUACAGAGUACUUUGAGGCAAAUAGGUUACAUGAGGAGGAUCGGUCUAUCUUGUAUAGGGACUUCCCUGAGUGGUAUACUUGGCAGAAAAGUAAGAAAAAUAAAUACUGGAGAAGAAGGGAACGAGAUACGGGUGGACAAGUUGGAAGAAUUGUGGCAGCUCAUCCCGCGGAGGGUGAACGCUAUUACCUACGGGUCCUCUUAAACCAUGUCACUGGCGCCACAUCCUAUGAGGACCUAAGGACAGUUAAUGGGGAGAUCCUACCAACAUUUCAUGAAGCUGCAGAGAGAAGGGGAUUGAUCGAAGGAGACAACACACUUGAUGAGUCCCUUACUGAAUCUACGUUAUAUGAGAUGCCAUCGUCUCUACGAAGGCUCUUUGCAACAAUAUUGGUAUUCUGUGAGCCAAGUAAUGUGCGUGGACUCUGGGAGAAGCACCUGGAGGCAAUGUCAGAAGACUAUCGCCGCAACAAUCCAUCCAAAGUUGCGGUUGAGCAAAUGGUUCUGAUAGAUAUCAGGAAUAUGCUACAAUCAAUGGGAAAGGACAUAGAGUCAUUCCCUCUUCCUGGUAUGAAUGAAGAAUAUGACACUGCUUCCGGCAUGCCAAGGGAGAUCUUCGAGGAAUCCACCAUUGAGCUCAAUGUUGAGGACACAAAUCUAUCAGACUCACUUAAUUCAGAUUAGAGGAAAGCCUACGAUGAAAUUAUGUAUGAUGUUGACAGUGAUGAGGGUGGCGUAUUCUUUGUGGAUGGGCCUGGAGGCACCGGGAAGACUUAUCUAUAUAGGGCACUUCUUGCAGAAGUCCGUGGACAGAAAAAGAUUGCAGUAGCAACAGCUGCGUCCGGCAUUGCAGCUACCAUAAUGCCCGGAGGGAGAACAGCUCAUUCACGGUUCAAGAUACCGCUAAGCAUUGACGAUGGUGGGUUUUGUAGCUUCACUAAACAGAGUGGAACUGCCAAGCUCUUACAGUCAGCUUCCCUCAUUAUAUGGGAUGAGGCUUCGAUGACAAAGAGGCAGGCAGUGGAGGCGCUAGACAAUAGUAUGCGUGAUAUAAUGAGUCGACCAGACCGACCAUUCGGUGGAAAGACAGUUGUAUUAGGUGGAGAUUUCAGGCAAGUCCUCCUUGUUGUCCGUAAGGGGUCAAGGGCUUAG
rnacentral:rRNA from 1 species